GCAAGUCGAACGGCAGCACGGGUGCUUGCACCUGGUGGCGAGUGGCGAACUGGUGAGUAAUAUAUCGGAACGUACCUUAUCGUGGGGGAUAACGCAGCGAAAGCUGCGCUAAUACCGCAUACGCCCUGAGGGGGAAAGCGGGGGACCGUAAGGCCUCGCGCGAUUAGAGCGGCCGAUAUCUGAUUAGCUUGUUGGUGGGGUAAAAGCCCACCAAGGCGACGAUCAGUAGCUGGUCUGAGAGGACGAUCAGCCACACUGGGACUGAGACACGGCCCAGACUCCUACGGGAGGCAGCAGUGGGGAAUUUUGGACAAUGGGGGCAACCCUGAUCCAGCAAUGCCGCGUGAGUGAAGAAGGCCUUCGGGUUGUAAAGCUCUUUUGUCAGGGAAGAAACAGCAGCUCUAACACAGUCUGCGAAUGACGGUACCUGAAGAAUAAGCACCGGCUAACUACGUGCCAGCAGCCGCGGUAAUACGUAGGGGUGCAAGCGUUAAUCGGAAUUACUGGGCGUAAAGCGUGCGCAGGCGGUUAUACAAGACAGGCGUGAAAUCCCCGGGCUUAACCUGGGAAUGGCGUCUGUGACUGUAUGACUAGAGUGUGUCAGAGGGGGGUAGAAUUCCACGUGUAGCAGUGAAAUGCGUAGAUAUGUGGAGGAAUACCAAUGGCGAAGGCAGCCCCCUGGGAUAACACUGACGCUCAUGCACGAAAGCGUGGGGAGCAAACAGGAUUAGAUACCCUGGUUGUCCACGCCCUAAACGAUGCCGACUAGUUGUUGGGAAUUUACAUUCUCAGUAACGUAGCUAACGCGUGAAGUCGGCCGCCUGGGGAGUACGGUCGCAAGAUUAAAACUCAAAGGAAUUGACGGGGACCCGCACAAGCGGUGGAUGAUGUGGAUUAAUUCGA
rnacentral:rRNA from 1 species